GAGGUAUUCUAUGCAUUUUCCACACAAUACACAUUUUUCUACUCCUUGCAUUUUCAUAUUUGUUCUUUUUUUUAAAAAAAAUCCUAGAUUGACUUAAAAAAAAAAAAAACUCUUCUUAACACAUGUCACCUGUUACUUAAGCCUCAUAAUGGUGACAAUAACCCAAUUUCUUAAGCAGUAAGUUAUUUUCAUUGCCUUCUUUUCCUUUCUUGUCAUUUGUCUUUUCCUCCAGAUGGAAUAGUAGGAAGUCAGAUCCUGAGAGUCCUGGGGACCCUGAGGAACAAGCUUGCUCACAUCUGUGUUUUGUGAGCAGGAAAGGCUGAACACGAAGGCCCUGGGCCGAGCUGCAGAAGUCUCUCCUCUAAGAUCUGUUGGCAGAGGUAACAGGUAAGAAAUGACAGAUUUCUCCUUGUAAGGAAGUCCCAAUCUCUCCUCCUCAACCCCAAGUUUCAUUUUUCUCAUUCAUCUCUCCAUUUCUGUUCAACAAUGCUUUGCAUGUAAUUGACACUAUACAAAUGCUUGUUGAAUGAACAAAUUAAUACACAAAAAUAUCAAUGAAUAAAUGCCAACCCCAGAAAUAUCUGGUUAUGCCUGUUUGAAUAGUCCUAGAGACUUUCAUCCAUGUGACUGGCUUACUGUGAACCAUCAAUGACAAUGUAGCACAAAUGCUAGCGGGAUACGGAGGAGUCUUUUCCUGUUAGAGCUGGAAGAGGCCCUAGAGCUUAUCAUAUCCCAAAGUCCCAAACCAGUGAACGCUAGCAGAGUAUACUUAUUUACCAUGCAUAAUCUUGUUGCUGCUGAUGUUGACUGUUACUUUGGAAUUAGUUACCAACAUAGAAAAAUUAGGAGACUUCACAAAAAGUGAUUCAGGGGCUGUUUGGGGAAAAAAACUAGAAAAUAGCUACAGAAAAUAGCCUGGGCUGACUAGUUGCUGCCCCUCUUGCAUUCUAUUUUAUUAGUGUAUUUAUUCUUCUUGGUCUUCUUUCAAGAAUGGCUCCCAUUUUAGAUGGAGUGUGUUCUAUUCAUUUAAUGCAGCUCCCAACCACCCCCAGUGCACCUGAUGCAUAGACAGGACCUGUCCAGCCCUGGUAGCAGUUGCAUUUGUGAUGCCUAAUUUAAUCCUAUGCCACUCCACUACCCUUUUUUCAAUAAGAAAACUGAGGCCCACUCAAUUUGCCUCCCUAAAAAUGUGUCUGAUUUGGGUCUCAUUCCUACAUUGUCUUCCAUCCACUGCCAUAGUAAACACUGAAAAAUACAGAUGUAACAAGGUCACCCUUCUGCUUAAAAUCCUUCGGUGGCUCCUUACUAGUUUGGAAGAUCCCAGUCUUCUUGUCAUGGCUAAUGAGACCUUUCAAUGCAAAGCCUACUUUACCAGCCUUAACUCUGACAACGCUAAUAAGCCAGCCACACCAAACAUCUUCAAGUUAUUUUACUCUGCCAUAUCGUUUUGUGCCUCACUAUCUCUGUCUAUGCUGAUCUCUUUGCCUGGAAUGCCCAUCCUUAUCAUUUGUCUGACAAACUCAUGCACAUUCGGCACUUAGCUCAGGCACCUGUGAUUCUGCCCUGCCAAUGCCUCCACCCUCCUCCUACUUCUCCUCCUCCUCCAUCAUCUCUGAGCCAUAGGGCUAAGCUCACACCUCUAUUUAUAGCUCUUAGAACAGUCAGUUAUAACUUCCCUACUAGAGUAUGUGCUCCUUGAGGGAAGAGACCACAGACCAUUCAUUUUUAUCUUCUGCAUUUUUUCCCAGUGUUCAAUAAAUGUUGAAUAAACAAAUGAUUAUCUUGCUCCAGGUGACUUUGUUAGUGACCUAGCUGUGAGAAAA
rnacentral:lncRNA from 10 species